AAUGAACGUUGGCGGCAUGGAUUAGGCAUGCAAGUCGCGCGAUAAGAUUCCUUCGGGAAUCCGAAAGCGGCGAAAGGGAGAGUAACGCGUAGAUGAUCUACCCGAGGACUGGGAUAGCGGCGGGAAACUGCCGGUAAUACCAGAUGAUGUCUCCGGACCAAAGGUGUGAUUCCGCCUUGGGAUGAAUCUGCGUCCUAUUAGCUAGUUGGUGAGGUAACGGCUCACCAAGGCGAAGAUGGGUACCGGGUGUGAGAGCAUGACCCGGCUCACUGGGACUGAGACACUGCCAGACACCUACGGGUGGCUGCAGUCGAGAAUCUUCGUCGAAUAGGCGGAAGACGUCGACGACGACGAAUAGCGCC
rnacentral:rRNA from 1 species